GAUGAACGCUGGCGGCGUGCCUAAUACAUGCAAGUCGAGCGAAAAGACGAGGAGCUUGCUCCCCUGACGUUAGCGGCGGACGGGUGAGUAACACGUGGAUAACCUACCUAUAAGACUGGGAUAACUUCGUGAAACCGGUGCUAAUACCGGAUAAUAUAUUGAACCGCAUGGUUCAAUAGUUAAAGACGGUUUUGCUGUCACUUAUAGAUGGAUCCGCGCCGCAUUAGCUAGUUGGUAAGGUAACGGCUUAUCAAGGCAACGAUGCGUAGCCGACCUGAGAGGGUGAUCGGCCACACUGGAACUGAGACACGGUCCAGACUCCUACGGGAGGCAGCAGUAGGGAAUCUUGCGCAAUGGGCGAAAGCCUGACGGAGCAACGCCGCGUGAGUGAUGAAGGUCUUCGGAUCGUAAAACUCUGUUAUUAGGGAAGAACAAAUGUGUAAGUAACUAUGCACGUCUUGACGGUACCUAAUCAGAAAGCCACGGCUAACUACGUG
rnacentral:rRNA from 1 species